rnacentral:rRNA from 1 species
UAGGGAAUCUUCCACAAUGGACGCAAGUCUGAUGGAGCAACGGCCGCGUGAGUGAAGAAGGUUUUCGGACCGUAAAGCUCUGUUGUUGGUGAAGAAGGAUAGAGGUAGUAACUGGCCUUUAUUUGACGGUAAUCAACCAGAAAGUCACGGCUAACUACGUGCCAGCAGCCGCGGUAAUACGUAGGUGGCAAGCGUUGUCCGGAUUUAUUGGGCGUAAAGCGAGCGCAGGCGGAAGAAUAAGUCUGAUGUGAAAGCCCUCGGCUUAACCGAGGAAUUGCAUCGGAAACUGUUUUUCUUGAGUGCAGAAAGAGGAGAGUAGAACUCCAUGUGUAGCGGUGGAAUGCGUAGAUAUAUGGAAGAAUACCAGUGGCGAAGGCGGCUCUCUGGUCUGCAACUGACGCUGAGGCUCGAAAAGCAUGGGUAGCGAACAGGAUUAGAUACCCUGGUAGUCCAUGCCGUAAACGAUGAGUGCUAAGUGUUGGGAGGCUUCCGCCUCUCAGUGCUGCAGCUAACGCAUUAAGCACUCCGCCUGGGGGAGUACGACCGCAAAGGU